rnacentral:rRNA from 1 species
UUUAAUUCGAAGCAACGCGAAGAACCUUACCAGGUCUUGACAUCCUCUGACAACCCUAGAGAUAGGGCCUCUCCUUCGGGAGCAGAGUGACAGGUGGUGCAUGGUUGUCGUCAGCUCGUGUCGUGAGAUGUUGGGUUAAGUCCCGCAACGAGCGCAACCCUUGAUCUUAGUUGCCAUCAUUUAGUUGGGCACUCUAAGGUGACUGCCGGUGACAAACCGGAGGAAGGUGGGGAUGACGUCAAAUCAUCAUGCCCCUUAUGACCUGGGCUACACACGUGCUACAAUGGACGGUACAAAGAGCUGCAAGACCGCGAGGUGGAGCUAAUCUCAUAAAACCGUUCUCAGUUCGGAUUGUAGGCUGCAACUCGCCUACAUGAAGCUGGAAUCGCUAGUAAUCGCGGAUCAGCAUGCCG